UACGGAGGAUGCGAGCGUUAUCCGGAUUCAUUGGGUUUAAAGGGUGCGUAGGCGGGCUAUUAAGUCAGUGGUGAAAUCCUGCAGCUUAACUGCAGAACUGCCGUUGAUACUGAUAGUCUUGAGUUUGGUUAAGGUAGGCGGAAUGUGUAAUGUAGCGGUGAAAUGCUUAGAUAUUACACAGAACACCAAUUGCGUAGGCAGCUUACUGAGCCGACACUGACGCUGAGGCACGAAAGCGUGGGGAUCAAACAGGA
rnacentral:rRNA from 1 species